rnacentral:rRNA from 1 species
UGGGGAAUAUUGCACAAUGGGGGAAACCCUGAUGCAGCGACGCCGCGUGAGCGAAGAAGGCUUUCGAGUCGUAAAGCUCUGUCCUAUGAGAAGAUAAUGACGGUAUCAUAGGAGGAAGCCCUGGCUAAAUACGUGCCAGCAGCCGCGGUAAUACGUAUGGGGCGAACGUUGUCCGGAAUUAUUGGGCGUAAAGGGUACGUAGGCGGUUUUUUAAGUCAGGUGUCAAAGCGUGGAGCUUAACUCCAUUAAGCACUUGAAACUGAAAGACUUGAGUGAAGGAGAGGAAAGUGGAAUUCCUAGUGUAGCGGUGAAAUGCGUAGAUAUUAGGAGGAAUACCGGUGGCGAAGGCGACUUUCUGGACUUUUACUGACGCUCAGGUACGAAAGCGUGGGGAGCAAACAGG